rnacentral:rRNA from 1 species
CCAGACUCCUACGGGAGGCAGCAGUGAGGAAUAUUGGUCAAUGGGCGCGAGCCUGAACCAGCCAAGUAGCGUGAAGGAUGACUGCCCUACGGGUUGUAAACUUCUUUUAUAAAGGAAUAAAGUGAGGCACGUGUGCCUUUUUGUAUGUACUUUAUGAAUAAGGAUCGGCUAACUCCGUGCCAGCAGCCGCGGUAAUACGGAGGAUGCGAGCGUUAUCCGGAUUUAUUGGGUUUAAAGGGUGCGUAGGCGGAGUGUCAAGUCAGCGGUAAAAUUUCGGGGCUCAACCCCGUCGUGCCGUUGAAACUGACGCCCUUGAGUGAGUGAGAAGUAAGCGGAAUGCGUGAUGUAGCGGUGAAAUGCAUAGAUAUCACGCAGAACUCCGAUUGCGAAGGCAGCAUGCCGGCUCCACACUGACGCUGAGGCACGAAAGCGUGGGUAUCGAACAGGAUUAGAUACCCGUGUAGC